rnacentral:rRNA from 1 species
CCUACGGGAGGCUGCAGUGGGGAAUAUUGGACAAUGGGGGCAACCCUGAUCCAGCCAUGCCGCGUGUGUGAAGAAGGCCCUCGGGUUGUAAAGCACUUUCAGUGAGGAAGAACGCCUGGUGGUUAAUACCCAUCAGGAAAGACAUCACUCACAGAAGAAGCACCGGCUAACUCCGUGCCAGCAGCCGCGGUAAUACGGAGGGUGCGAGCGUUAAUCGGAAUUACUGGGCGUAAAGCGCGCGUAGGUGGCUUGAUAAGCCGGUUGUGAAAGCCCCGGGCUCAACCUGGGAACGGCAUCCGGAACUGUCAAGCUAGAGUGCAGGAGAGGAAGGUAGAAUUCCCGGUGUAGCGGUGAAAUGCGUAGAGAUCGGGAGGAAUACCAGUGGCGAAGGCGGCCUUCUGGACUGACACUGCCACUGAGGUGCGAAAGCGUGGGUAGCAAACAGGAUUAGAUACCCCAGUAGUC